CCUACGGGGGGCUGCAGUCGAGAAUAUUCGGCAAUGGGCGAAAGCCUGACCGAGCGACGCCGCGUGCAGGACGAAGGGCUUCGGCUCGUAAACUGCUUUUAUCAGGGAAGAAUUUUGACGGUACCUGAAGAAUAAGAGGUUGCUAACUCUGUGCCAGCAGCAGCGGUAAUACAGAGACCUCAAACGUUGUCCGGAUUUAUUGGGCGUAAAGGGUCCGCAGGUGGUCGUGCACGUCUCGUGUCAAAUGUGAGGGCUCAACCCUUACACCGCACGAGAUACGACAUGACUAGAGGCCGGGAGAGGUAAGCGGAAUUGCCGGUGUAGUAGUAAUAUGCGUUAAUAUCGGCAAGAACACCAAAUGCGAAGGCAGCUUACUGGAACGCGCCUGACACUCAGGGACGAAAGCGUGGGUAGCGAAAGGGAUUAGAUACCCCAGUAGU
rnacentral:rRNA from 1 species